GAUGAACGCUGGCGGCGUGCCUAAUACAUGCAAGUCGAGCGAACAGACGAGGAGCUUGCUCCUCUGACGUUAGCGGCGGACGGGUGAGUAACACGUGGAUAACCUACCUAUAAGACUGGGAUAACUUCGGGAAACCGGAGCUAAUACCGGAUAACAUGUUGAACCGCAUGGUUCAACAGUGAAAGACGGUCUUGCUGACACUUAUAGAUGGAUCCGCGCCGCAUUAGCUAGUUGGUAAGGUAACGGCUUACCAAGGCAACGAUGCGUAGCCGACCUGAGAGGGUGAUCGGCCACACUGGAACUGAGACACGGUCCAGACUCCUACGGGAGGCAGCAGUAGGGAAUCUUCCGCAAUGGGCGAAAGCCUGACGGAGCAACGCCGCGUGAGUGAAGAAGGUCUUCGGAUCGUAAAACUCUGUUAUUAGGGAAGAACAAAUGUGUAAGUAACUAUGCACGUCUUGACGGUACCUAAUCAGAAAGCCACGGCUAACUACGUG
rnacentral:rRNA from 1 species